AACCUUUACACUGCACGACAGUGCGAUAAGGGAAUCCCAAGUGCGUAGGCAUAGAGCCUACGCUUUUGUCCACCGUAGGGAGGUGGACGAAUAAGGGCUGGGCAAGACCGGUGCCAGCCGCCGCGGUAAUACCGGCAGCCCGAGUGAUGGCCGAUCUUAUUGGGCCUAAAGCGUCCGUAGCUGGCCGCGCAAGUCUAUCGGAAAAUCCACCCGCUCAACGGGUGGGCGUCCGGUAGAAACUGCGUGGCUUGGGACCGGAAGGCGCGACGGGUACGUCCGGGGUAGGAGUGAAAUCCCGUAAUCCUGGACGGACCGCCGAUGGCGAAAGCACGUCGCGAAGACGGAUCCGACAGUGAGGGACGAAAGCUAGGGUCUCGAACCGGAUUAGAUACCCGGGUAGUCCUAGCCGUAAACAAUGCCUGCUAGGUGUGGCUCCCACUACGAGUGGGUGCUGUGCCGUAGGGAAGCCGCUAAGCAGGCCGCCUGGGAAGUACGUCCGCAAGGAUGAAACUUAA
rnacentral:rRNA from 1 species